CUUAGCAAACCGCCUGCGCACGCUUUACGCCCAGUAAUUCCGAUUAACGCUCGCACCCUACGUAUUACCGCGGCUGCUGGCACGUAGUUAGCCGGUGCUUAUUCUUCCGGUACCGUCAUCCCCCGGCUAUAUUAGAACCAAGGAUUUCUUUCCGGACAAAAGUGCUUUACAACCCGAAGGCCUUCUUCACACACGCGGCAUUGCUGGAUCAGGCUUUCGCCCAUUGUCCAAAAUUCCCCACUGCUGCCUCCCGUAGGAGUCUGGGCCGUGUCUCAGUCCCAGUGUGGCUGGUCGUCCUCUCAGACCAGCUACUGAUCGUCGCCUUGGUAGGCCUUUACCCCACCAACUAGCUAAUCAGACAUCGGCCAACCCUAUAGCGCGAGGCCCGAAGGUCCCCCGCUUUCAUCCGUAGAUCGUAUGCGGUAUUAAUCCGGCUUUCGCCGGGCUAUCCCCCACUACAGGACAUGUUCCGAUGUAUUACUCACCCGUUCGCCACUCGCCACCAG
rnacentral:rRNA from 1 species